UACGUAGGGGGCAAGCGUUGUCCGGAAUCAUUGGGCGUAAAGCGCGUGUAGGCGGCUUGAUAAGUCCGCUCUGAAAGCCCGGGGCUUAACCCCGGAAUUGCACCUCAAACUACAUGGCUAGAGCAUUGGAGAGGGUAGCAGAAUUCAUGGUGUAGCAGUGAAAUGCGUAGAUAUCAUGAGGAAUACCAGAGGCGAAGGCGGCUACCUGGACAAUUGCUGACGCUCAGGCACGAAAGCGUGGGGAGCAAAAGGG
rnacentral:rRNA from 1 species